AUAUUUACCUGGCAGAGGAGAUACCAUGAUCACUAAGGUAUCCCAGGUUUUCCCAGGGCGAAGUUUAUUCAUUGCACUCCAGAAGUGCUGACCCCUUCGAUUUCCCCAAAUGUGGGAAACUUGACUGCAUAAUUUGUGGUAGUGGGGGACUACAUUCACACUUUCCCCUG
ensembl:snRNA U1 U1 spliceosomal RNA